UACGGGGGGAGCAAGCGUUGUUCGGAUUUACUGGGCGUAAAGGGCGCGUAGGCGGUCGUGACAAGUCACUUGUGAAAUCUCCGGGCUUAACUCGGAACGGUCAAGUGAUACUGUCGGACUAGAGUACAGAAGGGGCAACUGGAAUUCUCGUGUAGCGGUGAAAUGCGUAGAUAUCGAGAGGAACACCUGCGGCGAAGGCGGGUUGCUGGGCUGAUACUGACGCUGAGGCGCGAAAGCCAGGGGAGCGAACGGG
rnacentral:rRNA from 1 species